rnacentral:ncRNA from 2 species
UGGAAAUAAGAUAUAUUUUUGAGAGCUUCUCCUAGUAUUCUAAUAAUUCCUUUGUUCAUAGAAUUUACCAGAAUAUAAUUUAUAUAUAAUACAACCGGAAUUCCUGCAGAAUUCCAGAUACCGUCGGACGGGGCUACUUUUGAUUCCAGGGGCUACUUUGGACACUCACCUUUUGUACUUAUUAGCAGCGGAUCGGAAGAGUUCUCUUUUCUGUUUUACAGUCACACUAGCCAUGUAAGUCUUUCAUAGAGAGAUAUGGUUGGACAGGCUGGUAGAGCAUGGUAUCAAAUUGCUGUGUCGAUAUUCUCUUCUUGGACCUUGAAAAUCGAAGAUUGGGGCACGCAAACUCUCAACAGCUUGUACCGAAUCCGCAGCAGGUCUCCAAGGUUUAGAGUCUCU